CCUACGGGUGGCUGCAGUGAGGAAUAUUGGUCAAUGGCCGGAAGGCUGAACCAGCCAUGCCGCGUGAAGGUCAGUGCCCUAUGGGCGUUAAACUUCUUUUGUGCGGGAGCAAUAAUGGUCACGUGUGGCCAGACGAGAGUAGCGUAAGAAUGAGCAUCGGCUAACUCCGUGCCAGCAGCCGCGGUCAUUCGGGGGAUGCAAGCGUUAUCCGGAUUUAUUGGGUUUAAAGGGAGAGUAGAUGGGUUGUUAAGACAGUUGUGAAAGUUUUCGGCUCAACCGUCAAAUUGCAUUUGAUACUGGGAGUCUUGAGUACAGGUGAGGUAGGCGGAAUUCGUGGUGUAGCGGUGAAAUGCGUAGAUAUCACGAAGAACACCGAUUGCGAAGGCAGCUUACUAAACUGCCACUGACGUUGAGGCUCGAAAGUGUGGGGAUCAAACAGGAUUAGAGACCCCAGUAGUC
rnacentral:rRNA from 1 species